ensembl:lncRNA
ACAUGCUGUCACUAUAAGGAGGAGAUGUCUUGAAUGGAUGCAGAAAAACAGUGUUUGAAUAAUUUUCCUCUUUUUCUACAGAAAAAAAGUUGGCACAGAAACAAAUAUGAUCUUUAGAGGGAAUUAACAACUGCUACCUGUGUCAAAGAGACCAAGAAUGCACAUGAGUGGGGAGAAGACCACUCAAGCCUCCCGGCAUGGAAAGAUGUGAAAAGGCCCAACAGCAGAGAAUAAGAGGAUGUGAGCUGUGCUGUGCUCUCAAUGAAAUCACUGGGAAUUUUGCCAUGAAAGCAGAACUGAGUCGUUCUUUCAGCAUUUCAGUACCCAUCACCAUAUUAUCUAGGCGCCACUAUAAGAUUAGAAGCUCUGCAGUGACAUUCUCAACAGGAUCUGUUCAAAGGUCAUUAGCAGAGCCUUUCAUACUGGAAAAGAUCGGAGGAGAGUCGGAAGUGAGCCACAGAAGGAAAGGAAAAGGAGAAGGCAGUGGUAAGCUGUUGGAGCCAUUUUGGUUGUGCUCAACCUGUGUGGGUUGCUUAGGGAAUGCUGAAGUAUAGGGACCUUGUGUCAGCUGCCUUUAUUCUGCUACAGGGACUAUAGAGCUUGUUGUACACUAUUGUCACCUCAGAGAGUUAUCUCCCAUGGCCUCGAGAUUGCUAUCCCUGUGCUGUCUCCAGAUGCUGUUUACAUGCUUGGUCUUUGUGAUUUCUGUGUAUUACUGCCUCAGAGCAGGACCUUUCUCUCAAAAAUUCCUAGUCGAGAGCAAGCACUGCAACUCAGGGAAUCACCUUCUCCAAGCUAAUAUAUUAGUUAAAAUUCUAUUUUUAGCUAAGUAUGUAAAUCCUACAAACUCUUUGUUUUUGAAGAAGCAAAAAAGGGUGUUUUUCAAUGUACACAAAGUUUCAAUGUGCACAGAAUCAGGAAAGAUGAUUUCGUCCCACAAGGCCCAAUCCAGCUCCCACUGAAGUCGGUGUCUGUAGUGUCUCUGAUGGCCAUGAGCACAUGCUGAGGACAACCUGGGGAACUUGCAUUGUGCAAAGGUGGCACUGGCCAUACUGUGUUCACCAACACAGUCUGUUGCUACUGUUUCAGGAAGUAUACUGGUAAGUGAAAAAUUUGCCAAAGCUCUUUUUUUCACUGCUGCAACUAGGAACCCGGUUCCGUCCUGAGAAGGCCAAUGACAAUAUGCUGACAUGUUGCUUAAACAAACCCCUGGGGGUCUUUUGCACCCCUUUUGAUACAAAAACACUAGGGGAUUUACACUAGGGAAAAAAUAGGUGGUUCCAAAGCAAGGAGGAAAGAGCCAAAGUUGGAAGCUAACCACAAUACGUGGGUGUAAGCGAUUACCAAAGGCUUCCAGUAACUCUGCUAUCAUCAGAGACUGGCUUUAUGGGUAUGGCCUCAAGAAGUUUCCCUCCACUUAAUUAAAGAGGCAGAUAAGUAUCUAGGUGGAGUGUGCAGAUAGGUUCUGAAUGAGUUAUCCACUAAGGCUGGUUCGCUGCACCUAUUGUUAAAGCCAAAAUAUAAUAUCAGAUUAAUGCAUUAUAUUUGCCUAUU